UCGUGGCAGCCCAUCAAAACGCUACUGGAAAGACUGUGUGUUUUCUUUUUUAGCAGGCAACGAGCGGGAAGAAUAGUGAAUUACAAAGCCCUCGUCAAUGUGUUAGCAGAGAGACGAGGAGCCGUGUGCGAAGAAAAAGGAAGGGCUCGCAAAAAAAGAGGCACGGUGGCCGUGCAGCGUUUCUAUACCACUACACUUGUGCUGGAACCGGCAGAGUCCUGACGACUUUUCCCCUUUUAUAUUUUCGUGUUUUUCUUUCCUCCUCCAAACCCACGCGAUUCGUGUUCAAAUCUUGCGGAGCACACGGGGGACUGUGGUGAAGCCUAUAUUGGGAUGUAUGCUGGUAACACACUGACGUUUCAGCGUUGAACGGAGGACUACAGGCCACUGACGGCAGAGACGAGGUGGACCGCACAGCACAGGAGGCCUGGAGAAAUCAUCUACCACACACAAACACACAUGACGCUGGUUGCUAACUUUGGUAGGUUGCUUUCUGCCUCUUUCUCCCUGUGUGUAUCUUAUACGCAGACACCACAUUGCGGCCAGGGCCCAAACGCUGUUUGUAUGUAGAUGCAAACAAACUUGUUAGAUUCAUGCUUAUAAUCUCUACAAACUGAUAUAUU